rnacentral:lncRNA from 1 species
AAGAGUGUGCGGACAACGCAUGCGCACAACGCAUGCGCACAGUCACAUGACAAGCCGUAAGGAUGGAAUGUCUCACCAUCUUUCUGGAGGUCAUUCAAUAAGUCACUCCACUCUGAACGAAAAGUGUCAGCCCCAGUGAGGCUGCCAUCGCCUCCGAUGACACACAGAUUGGUGAUCCCCCGCUUCACCAGGUUGUGGGCAGCUCGGAGUCGUCCUUCUCGCUCCCGGAAGUCCUUGCAUCGGGCACUUCCAAUCACCGUGCCUCCCUUUAGGGGAGAAACAGGAGGGCCUCACUGUGUAUCCUGGCUGGCCUGGAGAUGUAGAGUCUGUAGACCACGCUGGCCUCCCAAUCAGAGAUCUACCUGCAUCUGCCUCCAGAGUACUUGGAUUAAAGUCAUUGGCUACCA